UAAAGAAUUUCGGUCAUCGAUGGGGAUGCGUUCCAUUAGCUUGUUGGCGGGGUAACGGCCCACCAAGGCAUCGAUGGAUAGGGGUUCUGAGAGGAAGGUCCCCCACAUUGGAACUGAGACACGGUCCAAACUCCUACGGGAGGCAGCAGUGAGGAAUAUUGGUCAAUGGGCGCUAGCCUGAACCAGCCAAGUAGCGUGAAGGAUGACUGCCCUAUGGGUUGUAAACUUCUUUUAUAUGGGAAUAAAGUGCAGUAUGUAUACUGCUUUGCAUGUACCUUAUGAAUAAGGAUCGGCUAACUCCGUGCCAGCGGCCGCGGUAAUACGGAGGAUCCGAGCGUUAUCCGGAUUUAUUGGGUUUAAAGGGAGCGUAGGCGGGUUGUUAAGUCAGUUGUGAAAGUUUGCGGCUCAACCGUAAAAUUGCAGUUGAUACUGGCAUCCUUGAGUACAGUAGAGGUAGGCGGAAUUCGUGGUGUAGCGGUGAAAUGCUUAGAUAUCACGAAGAACUCCGAUUGCGAAGGCAGCCUGCUGGACUGUAACUGACGCUGAUGCUCGAAAGUGUGGGUAUCAAACAGGAUUAGAUACCCUGGUAGUCCACACAGUAAACGAUGAAUACUCGCUGUUUGCGAUAUACAGUAA
rnacentral:rRNA from 1 species